UCCGGGCGGACGCCGAGUCCUGCCGCCGCCCGGAUGACCGGUCGACAGGAGUGGAUCGGCAGGAGUGGAGGACCCAAGCACGACGGGUCGCCGGGACGGUCACGCCAUGACCGGGUCCGAGCAGCCCUUGGGGUGAAGCCGCGUCAGCGGCCGGGCAACUUUGUCAGCCCGAAUCCGACAGGUCAUCCUUCACAGGCGGCUGACGAAGGGUUG
rnacentral:sRNA from 2 species